rnacentral:rRNA from 1 species
UACGUAGGGUGCGAGCGUUAAUCGGAAUGACUGGGCGUAAAGAGUGCGUAGGCGGUUACGCGAGCUUGAUGUGAAAUCCCCGGGCUUAACCUGGGAAUGGCAUGGAGGACAGCGUAGCUAGAGUCUGUCAGAGGUGGGUAGAAUUCCCUGUGUAGCAGUGAAAUGCGUAGAGAUGGGGAGGAAUACCGAUGGCGAAGGCAGCCUGCUGGGAUAAGACUGACGCUGAGGCACGAAGGCGUGGGGAGCAAACAGG